GGUCGGAUGGCGCAAUGGUAGCGUGUGGUCCUCCUAAGACUGAGGUUGUGGGUUCGAGUCCCAUUCCGAUCG
rnacentral:tRNA from 1 species